rnacentral:lncRNA from 1 species
GCAAGCUAAGUGAACUAAAUCAAACGCACCCAACAUUGCCACCAGGUGCAUGCUGAUGCUGCUAAUGCAAACAUGCUCAUGGUGGAACUUUUACCCAGGGAGAAGUGGACAGGUUACAUUUCACAUUGAGAAUAACCGAGCGGAGAAGUUGAACUUGGAGCAGAUUGUGGAGGACUCAAACUCACAAAAUGACGUUCAGACCGCGUCCCCGCUCUGUGCUCCCUCUCCGUCUCUCUGGGCUAAAACAAUAAGCUGUUUGUCAGAAGUGAUGCUCUGAUGGUCGGCUCACUGAUGGAGGACCUGGGAGAGACAACAGACUGUAGAGUGACACACCGAGUCACAGCAGCUAGUGUUUGGAUCAAAGCUGCAUUUUACUCAAAGAAGGGGAAAGAAUAAUUUUCUUUGUAAUGUAUUUGACAGUUAAAUCAUAUAAAACCCCACAGCAGCACGUUCACACUCCACCUCAGGUCCCCUGUGCUUUAUUUUCCUACAUUGAGAAUAUUUAAGUAUAUUUAGCUUUUGUAUUUGAAACAGUUUAUGUUGACUCCUGCCUAAACCCACAAGUACCUUAAUUAACAAUUAUAUAUGAUUUGUCUAUAUAUUUUACUACAGAUUAAUCGAAUAAUCGUUUGUCUAAAACAUUUGUUAAGUCACCAGAGCCCAAUGGUCUUCAAAUUCUGUUUUGUCCAGAAAUGUUCAGUUUAUAAAGAUAUAAAAGAGAGACAUUGUAAUGUUUGAGAGGCAGCCCCUUGUCUCCGGCUGCAUCCUGUGGAGAGGUUCAGAUGACUUUUCUUUCAGGUUGUGUCACUGAUCAGAGAUCAGAGGAGGCCUGAAGCCGGAAAGUCCUUCAAUAUUUCAUAAAAGAGGAUACAAGUAUUCUCAAAAGGGACAUUUGGAGCAAACAGGGAUUAAAUGAAACAUGAAAAUUAUAAAUAUGUUUUUAAAAUCCACUCCAAAAAAUGUAUCCCAAGGGCCUCUUACUUUUUUGUCUCCUUUGAUUUGUCUGAAGCUUUCAAACAGCAUCUCCAGGUCAGUUGUCAAAUGAUUAGUUUUGAGUUUUCCAUGUAAGAGCAUUUGGGCUGACUGUUUUUAUAGUUCAACUCUUCAGUCUAUAAAUAAAAGCUCAGGUCAGUCUGUUCACUUUCUGACACGAUAUAACCAGUGAAUAAAAGCAACAAUACUAUGAUGUAAAAACACUUGGUUAAAAGAAAAAGUACAUGUACUGAAGUAUUAACAGUAUCACGAGUGAAAGUACUCGUGCCAUUAAAAUAAUUAUUCAUGAA